rnacentral:tRNA from 1 species
GGCUCAAUGGUCUAGUGGUAUGAUUCCUGCUUCGGGUUCGGCGCCCUUCCAUCACACAUGGGAAUGCAGGAGGCCCCGGGUUCGAAUCCCGGUUGAGCCC